CAGCGCCACGAGUGGGAACCACGAUUAUUGGGCCUAAAGCGUCCGUAGCUGGUUUGAUAAGUCUUUUGUGAAAUCGUUGCGCUUAACGUAACGACGUGCAAAAGAGACUGUCAGACUUGGAACCGGGAGGAGUCAGAGGUAUUCCAUGGGGAGCGGUAAAAUGCUAUAAUCCAUGGAGGACCACCUGUGGCGAAGGCGUCUGACCAGAACGGAUUCGACAGUGAGGGACGAAAGCUGAGGGAGCAAUCCGGAUUAGAUACCCGAGUAGUCC
rnacentral:rRNA from 1 species